UGCCAACCCGCGGGUUCCCUGGUGGGAGUGGCAGCAGAACAGGAGCACAGCAGCCAGGCUGGCUGCUGCCAGGGAAAGCAGCACACUGCAGCUCCCAGCAGCGCUGCUCCCAAAGCAGUGCUUUGUAUGCUGUGCCUGCAGGAGCUUUCAUCUCUUCCCAGGAAUCCUGGUGCCCAGCCGGGGCCUCAGACAGCUGAGAACUUCCUUAUGUCUAAAUCAGGGCAAUUUUCUAAUUGAGACAUUUGGAAAACCUGCUCCUUUUCCUCUGAGCAGCAUUCUCCAGGAGAACAUGGGACUGGGCAAGCACCUGCUGGCUGUGGCCACCAGCCAGGGCUGCAUGGACGGUGUCAGGAUUUUGGAUUAAAAACACGGCGAGUUUUUAUUCCCGCAAAAACAGGACAGGAAGUCAUCCCUGUUAAGCUCUGGGAUCCCAGGCAGCUGCGUG